ensembl:lncRNA
AACAAUUGUCACAUAAUGCUAUAAAGAUAAUCUUACAAAAACAAAAUUAAGGGUCUCAAGCACUAUUUCUGUAAAAAAAAAUCUGACUACUUUCUCUAUGUAGGUCAUCCCUUAGUCUUUAACAUGGAAGAAAGAAGACAAGCUUUAAUUUAUAAAUUUCUAAUAAUUUUCAAAUUAUUCCUGGAGAACAUCACUGCUGCCAGUGUUUUUACAGUUAUAAUAUUAAGCUAACCAUCCUAAUCCUCCUCCUCUUAUUACAAAUGCUGUUUUCUCUUUCUCAGUCAUUUACAGACUUGUAGAAAUAAUUAGGAAGCCAUCGGUUCCUUGGUAUCACUGUUGAACAGUUCAUUCACUCAGUAGCUAAUUCCUGAAAAACCUGUGUAGCAGGCCCAGUGCUACAGCUAGGGAUGAAAGGUGAACAGCACAGGUCUUAGAUCUGCCGGCUUAUGGUCAUGCAGAGUUGUUGACUGUAGAAUUUGUGGUAAGCGGUAAUUGUGUGUGUGUGUGUGUGUGUGUGUGUGGUUAGCUAAUACAAGUGUGAGAGGAAAAAUAAAUAAGUAUCAGAACAAGCCCAAAUCCUUUAUCAGCCCAUUCCCUGUCAGUCUUCCCUUAAAAUUCUUCGUUCUGUGAUUUCUAAACUAGUCUUCAGGACUCUGAGGUGCCUUUCUGUGCUCCUCUUUGGUAACAGCUAGAUUUCCAUAUCAGGGUUUGUUUCUUUGUUUUCCUGCAGUUCCAUUCCUAUGGAGAGAAAUAGCUUAUUUCAUUUCAAAAUAGGUGAGAAAGUUCUGGAAAAUGUGAUAAAUCAGCUGUUAUAAGAAGCUAAAAUCCUUCAUGUUAACUGUAGGUCUUCCUCUCACUCUCCCAGAGCACGUCUUGGGGGGCACAAGAAGAAAGCGCAUCUCCUUUCUGGGGCUCAGUCACUGCUGUCAGUGCUCCCACACUGGAGGCCUGGGCCCUUGUAACCACUGGGGGUGCUGUCAUCUCAUGGAUUUUACAGAGAUUGCUUCUCACUGGGUACUUGACUUUUGGCACUGGGGACAUCUGUGUCACAGGAGAGAGACCCCCAAGCAAAGCAGCACAUAUUGUGAUGAAAGCAAAAGCUGUCUGGGACAUCUCUCCUCAGAGCACAUUGCUGCAAACCCCGCUGUGACUGGACCCACGUACCCAGGAGAAAGAGCUGCGAAAGAAGAGGCUGGGAGCAGCUGGAGCCUACACCAUGCUACGCUGAACCAACUCCAAAGCCCUGACUGAGAGAGCUGAGUGCAGAGAGCUGCCUAGCCAAGACUGUGAUGUUUCCCCAGGGACUCAGCCAGGCUGCUGCCUCCCAGUAGGAAGGUGAGCCAGCAGACUGAAACCUGCCCUCUCCUCCCAUCCUCCAGGCUCCUUCCAGGCUCUCCAUUGAUGCAGCCUAGCCAGAAGCUGGAAGUCAAUGGAGACCAUUCAUAUCAAUCCCACAGGCCAGCCUCCGGGCUAGAAAGCAGGCAGAAAGUGGUUUAGAGAGGAUCCUAAGAAGCAAACAGAAGACACUCAACUUGCCCAUAAAAUGGCAAAUCCCAUGCUGCUUUGGAAGCUGUCCCUUCCUUUUCUUUACUUUGACUCUUGGCUUUUCCAAGCUCCUACAAACUCCGGCUAUUUGCCUGAAGGUUGUCAGUCAUGACUGGCCGUGCUUUGACGCAUGUAAGAUUUUCUGGUAGAUGUGCAUUCAGCUAUAAUUGCCUGUGAGUUACUGAUAAAUGUUUUAAGUUCAUCAUCUGGAUCUUGGGUCCAGCCUGUUAAUACAGUUGGUAUCAUGGGGAAGGAAAUGUCUGAGUAAGGAAGAGGUGAUUACUACUCAUGUGCAACAGGACGAUGACAUCUCAUGAAGAUCUGCUUGCUUUACAGGUUGAAAUAGCUACAGUGUAUGCUCUGGAGACAAAAUAGGCUAGGACAAACUAUUGUUCCAACUCUAGAAACCCAGAGCAAACCUGUCUCAAACAAUGGGUAAGCAAUAAAGUCCCCUACUGCUAAAAGAUAAACA